AUUUUCCGGUUGAUCCUGCCGGACCCCACUGCUAUCGGGAUAGGACUAAGACAUGCUAGUCGUGUGCCUCAGCCAAAACGAGGCACGGCGCACAGCUCAGUAACACGUGGCUAACCUGCCCUUAGGACGAGAAUAACCCCGGGAAACUGGGGCUAAUGCUCGAUAGGUGAAGAACUCUGGAAUGAGUCUUCACUUAAAAGAGUCUGCGUUAUGCUCGUAGAUUUCGCUUAAGGAUGGGGCCGCGACCGAUCAGGUUGUUGGUGAGGUAAUGGCUCACCAAGCCUUUUACCGGUGCGGGCCGUGAGAGCGGGAGCCCGGAGAUGGGCACUGAGACAAGGGCCCAGGCCCUACGGGGCGCAGCAGUCGCGAAAACUUUGCAAUACACGAAAGUGUGACAGGGCUAUCCCGAGUGCCAUCCGCUGAGGAAGGCUUUUACCCAGUCUAGAAAGCUGGGGGAAUAAGGAGAGGGCAAGUCUGGUGUCAGCCGCCGCGGUAAUACCAGCUCUCCGAGUGGUGUGGAUGUUUAUUGGGCCUAAAGCAUCCGUAGCUGGCUAAGUUAGUCCCCUGUUAAAUCCAACGAAUUAAUCGUUGGAUCGCGGGGGAUACUGCUUGGCUAGGGGACGAGAGAGGCAGACGGUAUUUCCGGGGUAGGGGUGAAAUCCUAUAAUCCCGGGAAGACCACCAGUGGCGAAGGCUGUCUGCUAGAACGCGCCCGACGGUGAGGGAUGAAAGCUGGGGGAGCGAACCGGAUUAGAUACCCGGGUAGUCCCAGCUGUAAACGAUGCAGGCUAGGUGUUUGGACGGCCACGUGCCGUUCUAGUGCCGCAGGGAAGCUGUUAAGCCUGCCGCCUGGGGAGUACGAUCGCAAGAUUGAAACUUAAAGGAAUUGGCGGGGGAGCACCACAAGGGGUGAAGCUUGCGGUUUAAUUGGAUUCAACGCCGGGAAU
rnacentral:rRNA from 1 species